rnacentral:rRNA from 1 species
UACGAAGGGGGCUAGCGUUGCUCGGAAUCACUGGGCGUAAAGCGCACGUAGGCGGAUCUUUAAGUCAGGGGUGAAAUCCUGGAGCUCAACUCCAGAACUGCCUUUGAUACUGGGGAUCUCGAGUCCGGAAGAGGCGAGUGGAAUUCCUGGUGUAGCGGUGGAAUGCGCAGAUAUCAGGAAGAACACCAAUGGCGAAAGCAGCUCUCUGGGACGGUACUGACGCUGAGACGCGAAAGCGUGGGGAGCAAACAGG